CAGAUCAUACGCACUGCACUGGUUACAUGGAUUACAGCUGCAGACUUCUAACACAAAAUCCACACACAAGUACACGGACCCAGGUGGAGGCCUCAGCCCCUUAUUUCCUGCUUCUCUCCACUGUCUUAUUUUCAAGCUGCUACUGGUGCACCAUGAGAACCUGAUUUAAUACUAAGUGUCCAUACCAAAGUUCAAUGUCUGUCCCUACAGCAUAAUAUAACAUCGGUUAUCUCAAACAAUUGAUCUGGCUUAGUUCCUGGCCCAGGUGCAUAUUAGUUUUUGGAAGAAACUGAAUACAUAUUGUAAAAGUGUAUUAGCUCUUUCAAGCCAAAGGGGAGUGAUUAAAUAGAUGACUUCUCCAGGGGUGGAGGCCUUCAAGUGGGGCGAGAUGAGGAGGCAGAGAAUCCUAAGCACUCUGUUUCAUUUUCUUGUGAGCAAAAAACAUGAGACAGUGUCCUUUGGCACCAUUCAACUCUGUGCCACCCACCAAGAAACAAGAGAGUUUUUACACAAUGGCUACUUGUAGAACCUCCGAACUACCUACAGAGUCCCCGUGGUGACAUGCUGUAAAGUACUCCGUAUUUGUUUCCACUAACUGGGUGAUUGAAAAUAAUAAAAAUUUAUUAUCUGAC
rnacentral:lncRNA from 1 species